CCUCAAUUAAAGUUUGGAUGCGUGUCUCUAAUUCUGAAAUCUUCUCUGUCAGCCUAACUGUUUCCCUGCAUUUAUCACAUGUGAAUCCCUCAUCAGCGACAGAGAUAUAUAAACUGUACAUGUGGCAAGAGGUGCAAAUAACAAUUGUAGGAGAAGCCAUUACUCACCGUGCUUGAUGAAAUAUUCUUACUGCGGUUGUUUGAUGAACUUGUGGAAAACUGCAGCGUGAGAGAGGAGAGGAGAGGAGAAAAGAAAACGCUAAUGACAAGCUAACGAGUGCUAACGCUUUGCAGGUGUGCUGCAGUCACGGAAGAGUGAACGAUCAAAGUUAAUCUGAUAAGAUUGAUCGGUAGUAUCAGAAAUAUGGUGUGAAUUAAGUUAUAUUUUACAAUUAAAAAAACAAACAAA